AAGGGCACCACAAGAACGCGUGGAUCAUGUGGCUUAAUUUGACUCAACGCGGGAAAUCUUACCGGGUCCGGACACACUGAGGAUUGACAGGUUAUGGGGCGGGUUGAAUUUCAAUCUCUUCGGGGAUUAAUUUUCUCCCACCUCAAAAAUAUGCUAGUCCUUUCAUGAUUAUGUGAUAGGUGGUGCAUGGCCGUUCUUAGUUCGUGGAGUGAUCUGUCUGCUUAAUUGCGUUUCACUAAAGGCGUCAUUAAUUUUUUGUGCCUGUGUUUGACCCCGCACUUCGGUGCGCGCGCGUCUUUCACACACAAUUACUUUGACGUCUGAAAGCAACGAACGUGACCGUAACCUCUUGUUGCCUUCUCUUCUCUUCGGAGAAUGCUGUUUUUUUUUCUUCACGGAAUUAAUUGCAGUAUACGGAGGCUUAAUACUCAGUAACUAGAGGGACCGCUGUUACUUUCUUUAAACCAGAGGAAGGUUGCGGCAAUAACAGGUCUGUGAUGCCCUUAGAUGUUCCGGGCUGCACACGUGAUACAUUGAUUACUUCAGUGAGUAUCUACGUAUUACUGCGCAGCAGUAUACGCGUGUUGUUUAUUGCUUCGGCAAUUUACUUUGCGCUAUACGCCGCCUUAACCUACUUCGAAAGUAUGUGGGUAACCAAUUAGAAGUAGUGAUUUCCCUCUUUAUAAGCACACUUAUAUGGAGCAUCAUCACCCGGCAUGCCUUGUGCAUGUUUUGUGUGUGUUGUUUGUCUACAUGUGCUUUUGUCAAUUCAUAGUGGGGACAGACCAUUGUUAAUUGUUGGUCUCGGUCUUAACUAGGAAUGCCUUGUACGAGUUUUUGGUUCAACAAACCACUCGGAAUACGUCCCUGCCCUUUGUACACACCGCCCGUCGCUCUUACCGAUGGAUUAUAUUAUGAGUUGGCAGGACCGUCCAGGAAAUGCCUGCGAAUAAUGUGAUCUAAAGGAAAGAGAAGUCGUAACAAGGCAUCRGUAGGUGAACCU
rnacentral:rRNA from 1 species